rnacentral:rRNA from 1 species
UACGUAGGGUGCAAGCGUUAUCCGGAAUUAUUGGGCGUAAAGAGCUCGUAGGUGGUUUGUCGCGUUGUUCGUGAAAACUCACAGCUCAACUGUGGGCGUGCGGGCGAUACGGGCAGACUAGAGUACUGCAGGGGAGACUGGAAUUCCUGGUGUAGCGGUGGAAUGCGCAGAUAUCAGGAGGAACACCGGUGGCGAAGGCGGGUCUCUGGGCAGUAACUGACGCUGAGGAGCGAAAGCGUGGGGAGCGAACAGG